GAGGCUGGAUGGUGGAGGAGUGUGGAGAGGGGCUCUGGAGGGCAAAGGGAAGAUUCCAGCAUGGGCCCAUCCCUGGGUGGUAGAAAGAGCACUGGGCCUGGAACCAGGACAGCCAGGUCUCAGCUCAGGCAUGGCGGCAUCAGAGCUGUGUGUCCCCAAGCACGGCCCCAGCCUCUCAGGGCCUGGGCUGUCUGGUCUGUAAAGGGAGUGGAGUGAAUUACUCCUGCUGGUACACAGCACAGGCACUCAGGCAUCAGAUGAACACUGGAGGCACGGGGAGGAUGUGUGGACCAUUGACUUCCUGAACGACAACAUUCGAAGAGGAAUUGAGAACUACUAUGAUGAUCUGGACUUCAAAAACAUCAUGGACUUUGUUCAGAAAAAGUUCAAGUGCUGUGGCGGGGAGGACUACCGAGAUUGGAGCAAGAACCAGUACCACGACUGCAGUGCCCCUGGACCCCUGGCCUGUGGGGUGCCCUACACCUGCUGCAUCAGGAACACGACAGAAGUUGUCAACACCAUGUGUGGCUACAAAACUAUCGACAAGGAGCGUUUCAGUGUGCAGGAUGUCAUCUACGUGCGGGGCUGCACCAACGCCGUGAUCAUCUGGUUCAUGGACAACUACACCAUCAUGGCGGGCAUCCUCCUGGGCAUCCUGCUUCCCCAGUUCCUGGGGGUGCUGCUGACGCUGCUGUACAUCACCCGGGUGGAGGACAUCAUCAUGGAGCACUCUGUCACUGAUGGGCUCCUGGGGCCCGGUGCCAAGCCCAGCGUGGAGGCGGCAGGCACGGGAUGCUGCUUGUGCUACCCCAAUUAGGGCCCAGCCUGCCAUGG
rnacentral:sRNA from 1 species